GGGAGAUCCGAGGGCCUCAUCUCGCAUCUCUGCGUUCUCUGACUGGAGAAGGAUGCUUCCCUUUGCUCCCCAGCGGACCUCUGGGGCCUUCUUCGGGCUCCAAGCACUCUGGGCAGGAGGACCGUUGUCCGGCCGACGUGGAAAGGCUCCUUGAACAACAAAGUCUUGUCUCAUCCCAAAGGGACACAGUGCUCCUGCUGAGAAACCCUGCUCUAGGGGACAAUCUCAAGCACCCAGAAGGCUACAAAACUCAGCGCUCUCCUUGCCCUGGGCCUGGCUCAGUCUUCUGGAUUUGGUUUCAGACUUGGCCAACAUCCCUCUACUAUCUUCCCAGCUGGUGUUCAAGAAUAGCCCCUCUCCACUGGAUUCAGGAUCCCACACUAAACCACAGCUUCCCAUCUGGGGACUUCCCUGUUCAGCUUCCUCAGACCGUCCUCUCCCCGGUUCCUGAUGAAGGCCGUCUGCGUAGAACCUGCCUCUGGACUCAGGAAGCGCAAGCCUUUCCUUCCUUCUCGAAUCGUAAGUGACCACAACGUCCUGUUUGCUUUGCAGCACCUAAUACGUAAACUUUUAUUAUGGGAGUGUGUGAUCGCAGGUUGUAUUUUUAGUAGAUUUAUUGAAUUGGUAAAUAUGUAUUUAAUGUCAACUAUGUUUCAAGAAGACUCAUCGCUGCCAAAUGCACAGAAGUGAGAGAAAUCAGAUCACUUCCUGUACAGAGUUCGCAUUCCAAGGGGGCUGGGAGACAACACAGAAGAAAGUGAAGAAAAACUCGAGAUUAUGUGAGCUAAUGAGCUAAGAAGACGAUAAUUCAAGGGGUUUGAAGACUUGGAGGUGGCGGGGCGUGCAUGGGGCUUGCUGAUUUAAUAAGGUAGUGAGGAAAAGGGCAUCUGAGGGGAAAAUGUUGGAGAUCCUCAAAACCUUGAGUUCAAAGACUCUCCCCCCCCCUUUUUUUUUUGCUUUUUUAGGGUCGCACCCAUGGCCUAUGA